UACGGAGGAUCCGAGCGUUAUCCGGAUUUAUUGGGUUUAAAGGGUGCGCAGGCGGGAUGUUAAGUCGGCGGUGAAAUUUUGCAGCUCAACUGUAAAAGUGCCUUCGAUACUGGCUUUCUUGAGUGUGGAUGAAGUAGGCGGAAUUUGUGGUGUAGCGGUGAAAUGCUUAGAUAUCACGAGGAACUCCGAUUGCGCAGGCAGCUUACUAAACCACUACUGACGCUCAUGCACGAAGGCGUGGGGAUCAAAC
rnacentral:rRNA from 3 species